rnacentral:tRNA from 1 species
AUAAAAACUUAGGAUUAACUCUAAACCAGGGGCCUUCAAAGCCCCAAAUAAGGGCUAGACGCCCUUAGUUUUUG